UACGUAGGCAGCAAGCGUUGUUCGGAGUUACUGGGCGUAAAGGGUGCGUAGGCGGCGGAGUAAGUUGGGUGUGAAAUCCCGGGGCUUAACCUCGGAAUGGCAUUCAAUACUGCUUCGCUUGAGUACUGGAGAGGAGGCUGGAAUUUACGGUGUAGCAGUGAAAUGCGUAGAUAUCGUAAGGAAGGCCGGUGGCGAAAGCGAGCCUCUGGACAGUUACUGACGCUGAUGCACGAAGGCCAGGGGAGCAAACGGG
rnacentral:rRNA from 1 species